GACGAACGCUGGCGGCGUGCUUAACACAUGCAAGUCGAACGGAAAGGCCCUGCUUUUGUGGGGUGCUCGAGUGGCGAACGGGUGAGUAACACGUGAGUAACCUGCCCUUGACUUUGGGAUAACUUCAGGAAACUGGGGCUAAUACCGGAUAGGAGCUCCUGCUGCUUGGUGGGGGUUGGAAAGUUUCGGCGGUUGGGGAUGGACUCGCGGCUUAUCAGCUUGUUGGUGGGGUAGUGGCUUACCAAGGCUUUGACGGGUAGCCGGCCUGAGAGGGUGACCGGCCACAUUGGGACUGAGAUACGGCCCAGACUCCUACGGGAGGCAGCAGUGGGGAAUAUUGCACAAUGGGCGGAAGCCUGAUGCAGCAACGCCGCGUGCGGGAUGACGGCCUUCGGGUUGUAAACCGCUUUCGCCUGUGACGAAGCGUGAGUAACGGUAAUGGGUAAAGAAGCACCGGCUAACUACGUG
rnacentral:rRNA from 1 species